rnacentral:siRNA from 1 species
GGGUGGGACCCACGACGAAUGGUU